GGCAUAUGGAGGUUCCCAGGCUAGGGGUCUAAUUGGAGCUACAGCUGUUGGCCUAUACCAUAGCCACAGCAAUGCCAGAUCCAAGCCACAUCUGUGACCUACACCACAGCUGACUGCAAUGCUGGAUCCUUAACACACUGAGUGACGCCAGGGAUUGAACCUGCAACCUCAUGGUUCCUAGUCAAAUUCAUUUCUGCUACGCCAUGACAGGAACUCCAACAAUUAUUUUUGUUGGCCAUUUACUUUUCUCCACCUGUUUUUUCCCCCACCUAUAACGAUACUGCUAAGAACAUUCUUUUCCAUAUGCCCUAGUACAAAUGAGUGAUUUUUCUCCAUGGGAAGUUGUAAUUGCUGCAUAUACACAUCUUCCAAUUUACUAGCUUACCCUUAUAUUUUUCAGUACUCCUAUCAGCAUUUUAUGAGUUUGCAUCACACUAUAUUGCUAAAACACUUGCUAUUUUUCAGAUUUUAAUUUUUGCUAACCUAGAUGAUUUGAAAUAUGAUCUCACAGAGUGAUGGUAUCUAAUUAAUAAGCUUUUUAUAUGCUAAAAAAACCUUAAACGGCAUUAUUUAGUACUGGAAAAAUUGGUGGGUGUUGUCAGAAUAGUGUAUUUAAAAAGUGAAUUUUCCAAAAUAAAUAAUUAACCUUAAAAAAUGUCUUUACCAUUAUUAUGUGCUUUCCUCUUAUAGUGACACAACUGAAUGAUGCUCUAGGGGUGCCUGGGACUCACUAGGUUGUUUAUCCUUGUACUGCAUGGUCUCUGGUUACCUGAACAAUUUUUCCUUCUCUCUGGAUAGCAUUUGCUCAGGUUUCUCCCUCUCCUUGUUUCGUCACACUUAUUUCUUGUGUUGCCAGCAUCCUCUUAGUGGUGGUUUCCAAACAGCAGUGGGCUGGGAAACAAAAUAACUAAUCUUAACUUUAAAAAUUUGGCCCUGGAUUAUUGGGUGGGCUUUCUCCUUUUACUCCUCUUUUUGUUCUGCAGAGUGUGUCAGUUUAUAUUAUGCUGGUUUUAUCAGACAAGCUCUAUGGAAACUAUUUUAGUUGCCUAGAAAUAUUUUUCCCAUCUUUUUUCAGAGUUUAAAGUUUUACUGAAAGUAUAACUGAUUUACAAGGUCGUGAUGAAUUUUGCUGUACAAUAAAGUGAUUUGGUUAAUCCCUAGAAAUGUGAACUUGUUAGUGACUCAGCUCUGGAUAAAUGCUUAAAAAAAUUAAUGUGUUAAAAAAUGUUUUCAUGUCUGAUAAAACAAUUAUAAUAGUAUUCUUUAAGUGUUCCUUUUUAUUCAGAAGCCAAAAACUUUAUUUACUUUCACAUGCAUGUGAAGGUAUCAAUGAGUAUUUUUGGGGUUUUUUUUGCAUUUAUCACAUGCCUAUUUUUAUUUUCUGAAAAGGUUAAGUACUUAAUCAGAAAAUAAUUUUGUUAUAUCUAUUCUAUGCAUGAAAGAGAAAUUAUUUAAGAAGGAGUCAUUGACGUCUUAGCAUAAAGUAGCAGAGAACCUGACAGAGCUCUAAGUUCAGACUUUCAUCUUCCUGUUACAGUCUUGCAACCCUAGUGAGUACUAUAGACUUAGUGAGACUUAGUGACAAAAAGAAAUGACUACCUACUUAGCAAUUGCUCUCAUAGCCAGAUACAUGAGUGCCUGAUUUCUCCCUGCCCUAAAUUUAUCAUUAAAUGUGCCUAAGUAGACUUAUCAGAAUCCUCAAAGAACUCUGCUCAGGGAAUAGACUAUGUGUAAAAUAAGUUGAUUUAUUAAUCAAUACAUCAAUGACUAGCAUCAAUCCAAAGAUAGUUAUCUACCAUGUUGCCUAUUUAAUUUAUGAAUUUUCUCUAACAAUUUUUGAGUUCUACAAAGAUUUAUUCAACUUUAAUUCCCAGGCCCACCUGUCCUGGUAAAUAUAAGAGGCAACACAUUUUAAUCAUACAGUAAGAAACAUCUAACAAAAACAAGUUAUGAUACAUAAAACAAUAUGUUGCAUCAUAUCCUCCUUUGGAUAACAAUAAAUCCUCACUUAUGUCAAUCAAAAUAUAAAUGCUUCAGUUUCUCUCAAGAAUGUAAAUGAAACAUCCUAGGGGAUUAUGAAGCAAGGAAACUGCAUAAAGCUUUUCUUAAGCAUGUUGAAUAAUAAAAAUAAAUUUGUUUAAUUUCAAGUGCAUUGUAUAUUACUUAAGUACACAUUAAUACAACUUAUUUUUCAAAUAUCUUUAAAAAUAUUUUUGGGGGAAAUGAAAAUUCAUUAUCUACUUAUGCAAGUGGUAAAUGAUAGAUUUUCUAUCCAGAUGAGUCUAAUAUUUAUAGAAAUGAGUUUUCUAUACAAGCAUUUCUUUCUCUGCUUCCAGAAGAAUAACAUUUCUUGAAGUUUGGAAUUUAAAAUUGGAAAAUAAACUCUCACAAGCCAAGUGAUUCCUUUACUUAUAUUCUGGGUUUAAAAGGUAAAAGCUCUGUUUUAGCCCAAAAAGAUUGUCUUUUCUCAUAUGCUUCUUGGGCAUAUUAUUGUAAUUUGAAAAGAGAUUCUUAAAAUAGAGGCAAUAAAACUGUUUCUGCUUGCAUGCUGUGAAAUUCUCCCCACAAGGCUUUAAAUUGAACUUGCUCAACAGGCAGAGAGAACCGCCUUCUUUCUUCAAAGACAUAAGAGGAUUUGUUCAGUAAAAGGAAAAGGUCUAACAGCAUUCUCUGAAAGGGACACAUUGAAUGCGCCUGUGAUUGCCGCUCCCAUCAACUCUCCUCCUCUAUCAUCAGAACACGCCAGAGAAGCAAAAUGUGUGCAACUGACAAGGGAGAGUCAGUUAAAGCACAAGCUAACCUAACUGCCUACAAAAAAAAAAAAAAAAAA
rnacentral:lncRNA from 1 species